rnacentral:rRNA from 1 species
AUGGGUGCCAAGGUUGCAGCGACCGCCCUCUUCUUCCUCCUCCUCACCUUUGCUUAUGGGAAGAAGGAUACGCCAUGCGAAGGGCCGAGCCAGACCUAUCAUGCAGUCUGCGCCAACCCAGCCUGCGACGCGGCCUGCAUCACCGAGGACUACAAAGGUGGAUACUGCAGCCCAGGAAGGCUCAACACAUGCCUCUGUACUAACAAGUGUCACGACCAAACUCUUCCGCCCAACAGGGUCUGA